CGGAACACGUACGCAACCUUCCUUUAACUGGAGAAUAGCCCCUCGAAAGAGGGAUUAAUACUCCGUAACGUAUACAUGUGGCAUCGCAAGUAUAUUAUAGCUUCGGCGGUUAGAGAUGGGCGUGCGCCUGAUUAGAUAGUUGGCGGGGUAACGGCCCACCAAGUCUGCGAUCAGUAACUGGUGUGAGAGCACGACCAGUCACACGGGCACUGAGACACGGGCCCG
rnacentral:rRNA from 1 species